rnacentral:rRNA from 1 species
AUUGAACGCUGGCGGCAGGCCUAACACAUGCAAGUCGAGCGGAUGAAGGGAGCUUGCUCCUGGAUUCAGCGGCGGACGGGUGAGUAAUGCCUAGGAAUCUGCCUGGUAGUGGGGGAUAACGUCCGGAAACGGGCGCUAAUACCGCAUACGUCCUGAGGGAGAAAGUGGGGGAUCUUCGGACCUCACGCUAUCAGAUGAGCCUAGGUCGGAUUAGCUAGUUGGUGGGGUAAAGGCCUACCAAGGCGACGAUCCGUAACUGGUCUGAGAGGAUGAUCAGUCACACUGGAACUGAGACACGGUCCAGACUCCUACGGGAGGCAGCAGUGGGGAAUAUUGGACAAUGGGCGAAAGCCUGAUCCAGCCAUGCCGCGUGUGUGAAGAAGGUCUUCGGAUUGUAAAGCACUUUAAGUUGGGAGGAAGGGCAGUAAGUUAAUACCUUGCUGUUUUGACGUUACCAACAGAAUAAGCACCGGCUAACUUCGUGCCAGCAGCCGCGGUAAUACGAAGGGUGCAAGCGUCAAUCGGAAUUACUGGGCGUAAAGCGCGCGUAGGUGGUUCAGCAAGUUGGAUGUGAAAUCCCCGGGCUCAACCUGGGAACUGCAUCCAAAACUACUGAGCUAGAGUACGGUAGAGGGUGGUGGAAUUUCCUGUGUAGCGGUGAAAUGCGUAGAUAUAGGAAGGAACACCAGUGGCGAAGGCGACCACCUGGACUGAUACUGACACUGAGGUGCGAAAGCGUGGGGAGCAAACAGGAUUAGAUACCCUGGUAGUCCACGCCGUAAACGAUGUCGACUAGCCGUUGGGAUCCUUGAGAUCUUAGUGGCGCAGCUAACGCGAUAAGUCGACCGCCUGGGGAGUACGGCCGCAAGGUUA